rnacentral:rRNA from 1 species
UACGUAGGUUACAAACGUUAUCCGGAAUCAUUGGGCGUAAAGCGUCCGCAGGUGGCGAGUUUAGUCGGGUGUUAAAUGUUAUGGCCUAACCAUAACGCCGCAUUCGAUACUGGCUCGCUAGAGACUUCCAGAGGCAAACGGAAUUCUGUGUGUAGGGGUAAAAUCCGUAGAUAUACAGAAGAACACCAAAAGCGAAGGCAGUUUGCUGGGGAAGUUCUGACACUCAUGGACGAAAGCGUAGGUAGCAAACAGG